rnacentral:lncRNA from 1 species
GUAAAAUAAACCAGGAGAUGGAGAAGAUGUGAACAGUACAAAUGGAAAUUGAAAGGAACUCUCAAACUCAAAACAUACCUUUUGAAGCUAUCAGUGGUGGCAGAAUACGAUUAACAAAGAAACAAAGGUGAUGGGAUGGUGGAGGGCUCAAUGACACUACAGAAGACACUGGAACUGCCAGGAAGAAAACAUAAUCAGCAAACGACCCAGUCUUUGCUUUAAUAUCAUCAGUUGCUACAGAUCAUGAUCAACUGUGAUGCAGAUUAUUCAUAUAAGAAGAGAAGUUAUUUAUUGGAGGAAAAAAAAACUGUUUUGCUACUGUUUGGAAGGCAGAUGGAAAUGUUGGGAGUAUCAAUGCCAGCAAAUCUCACAUGUGUUACAUCAACGAACUUGAAAAGUAGUGGAUAA